rnacentral:piRNA from 1 species
AGAAAGCAAGCCGUGAACCUGUAGAA